UGGGGCCUCCGCCGCCGGGGAGAGGGCCCCCAUCCCACCCCCGAAACCGGGGAAUUGGUGCCACCUGUAAGCCCCAAACCCCACCAAGGAACUAACCUGAGGAAGUCCAGAGAAGAUCCUGGCCUGGCAAGAAAACAAAGUGACCCUGGCCAAAGUUAAUCAGCUCUUUACUGACCCUUGCCCCCACCCCCAGCUUGUAGCCAGGUACACCCACCCUCAGCACAGGUAAGGAAAAAAAAUGUCAAUUUUUUUCAUCUACAAUACUGUCUUAUUUAUUUUAUAAUACAGUACAUUGAUUAUUGCCUUCAUUUUAUGGAUCUAUGGUCUCGUUAGACAGUAAAAUCUGUGUUAAAUUGCUGUUUUAGGGAGUGUUUUUCAUCGUCUAGAACGGAUCAGUUCACUUUUCCAUUACUUUCUAUGGAAAAGUGCGCCUCUACUUAUGUACAUUUCUAGUUAUGACCGGACCUCUGGAAUGGAUUAUGGUUGUAAGUAGAGGUUCCACUGUAUAGCAAGCUGUGGGUUGGUGGUGGUCUGUUACAUGCACACUGGAUUCAGCACUAUUUUUUAUGUUUAGAGAAACAUCAUCUGUAAGGGAUGAUUCAGAAGUUUACAAUUCCUUGAAGGAGAGGUACUUGAAAAUGAUGCACAGAUGGUAUUUAACUCCGAGUAGGCUUGCUAAGACGCGAGUGGCGCUGUGGGUUAAACCACAGAGCCUAGGACUUGCCAAUCAGAAGGUCGGUGGUUCGAAUCCCCACGACGGGGUGAGCUCCCGUUGCUCGGUCCCUGCUCCUGCCAACCUAGCAGUUCGAAAGCACGUCAAAGUGCAAGUAGAUAAAUAGGUACCGCUCCGGCGGGAAGGUAAACGGCAUUUCCGUGCGCUGCUCUGGUUCGCCAGAAGCGGCUUAGUCAUGCUGGCCACAUGACCCAGAAGCUGCAUGCCGGCUCCUUCGGCCAAUAAAGCGAGAUGAGCGCCGCAACCCCAGAGUCGGUCACGACUGGACCUAAUGGUCAAGGGUCCCUUUACCUUCACCUUUAGGCUUGCUAAGAUGUAUAAGACUGAAUCAGGUAAGUGCUGGAGAGGUUGAGGGUACAUUCUUUCACAUGUGGUGAACCUGUAAAAGGGUAAAAGUGUAUUGGGAAAUAAUUUAUAAUGAAUUGGAAAAAAAUGGUUAAAAGCACUUUUACAAAAAAACAGAGUCCUUUUCAUUGGGGAUAAUUCAGAGGGAAAUCCCCAGGUGUCAAAAAUGUUUUUUUAUGUAUGCCACUACUGCAGCCCAUGUUUUGUUAGUCCCAAAAUGGAAAACGAGCAAAGUCCCAACUAAAGAAGAAUGGCAACUUAAACUGAUGGAAUAUGUGCAGCUUGCAGACGUAACAUAAAGAAUAAGAGAUGUUUGAAGAAGACUGGAAAAUGUUUACUGAAUAUAUGGAGGAAAAUUGUGUAUAUUGUGGCAGCAUUAAGAUAAAUUCAACAGUGUAAAGGUUUUGGUGGAUGUAAUAAUGGAAUGCUGAAGGGUUUAGUUUAUAUAAAAUACGCAGGGAUUAACAUUAUGCAAAUGAACCAUGGAAAGAGAAGAAGGGAAGUCAUUGAUAUUUUAAGGUUGUUUAAAUGAAUAUUCUAAAUUGUAAAACAGAAAAUUAUCUAUCUAUCUAUCAUCUCUCUCUCUCUCUCUCUCUCUCCAAUGCAGAAGCAGCAGGAAAUGCUUAACCCUUUCAUCGCCUGCUUUUUCUCUGCUUCAAAACUCUCAAUGCAAGCAACUAUUUCCUGUCCAGGAUAUCAGCUUUGCAUUUGCUGUUUAGAAAUAUACACUUGGAAGCCUGAAUGGUGAGGGGAAAGCAGGUGAGGAAAGGAUUAGGUGUGCCAUCUUCCUCCAUUACUUCUCAGUUCUCAAUUGCCCCACUUCCUACACUGCUUAAAAUUAUUAUUAUUAUUAUUAUUAUUAUUAUUAUUAUUAUUAUUUUGUGAAUACCAUGGAGUUAACGUCUUUCUUGGAAGAUAGGAUACAGUCCUUCCUGAACUAUGGAGAAUGGUUAGGGGAUGAUGGAAACUGUAGUUCAAAAAACCUAAAUUGUGCCAGGUUGGGGGAAUGCCAUCACCUUCAUGCAGGUAAUCUAGACACACAAGUGGGGAUUGUGAUCUCUGAUUCCACUCCUGCAAGAAAUACUGCAAUCCAGCUUUGAGAAAACUUGAUUUUCUUUCUUGAAAUGCAAGUUGUAUGAAGCACUCCCCACCCACCCCCAAUCCCUGUGUGGUUGUGAAACAUUAUAUAACUAAUCUGCCCAUAAUGAAAGCAGCCAGCAGUGGUUAGAUGAAAACAACAGAGAUAUUGUUUGAUAUAUCUCAUUAUCCAAUACUCCUGUUCCAGUAGAACUGCAGGGGCAGUCAUGUCAGUUUCAUAAUUAGCUGAAGGACAUAAAUUGUGCUCACUGUCACACCAUCGAACGACUGUAUUUUGAUAAUAUAUGGUAAUGCAACUGUUUAAUGAGAGCAUUGUCAAUAUAAUAAUAAUGGCUCCAGCUGUCAUUGCUGUAGGGUGAGCACUCUGCAAGGGGUGGAAGAAGUCUAAUGAUAGGACAGUGCUAAAGGGGAGAUUAGAUUAAUAAAAGAUCAAUAGGCAAGCUCUGUUCCACAAGCCUGAUGAUUAUGCUCUCUGAAGAGAGUGCUUGAUUUUGAUUGAUUCAUCAGGCGGCUAUGAGAUCAAAAGCAGGUCACUAUUCCUUAUCUAUCAACACAUUGAAAUUCUACCUUUAAUAAACUAAGAAAUGCUGUAUCAUUCUCAGAAGAAUCCUAUACCUUGUUUAUGAAUGAGUAAGUUCUCUUGUGUCCCAUUGGAUUUCCUCCCAUGUAAAUGUGAAUAAUAAUAAUAAUAAUAAUAAUAAUAAUAAUUUAUUAUUUAUACCCCGCCCAUCUGGCUGGGCUUCCCCAGCCACUCUGGGCAGCUUCCCAAAAAAUAUUAAAAUACAGUAAUCCAUCAAACAUUAAAAGCUUCCCUAAACAGGGCUGCCUUUAGAUGUCUUCUAAAAGUCUGGUAGUUGUUAUUCUCUUUGACAUCUGGUGGAAGGGUGUUCCACAGGGAAGGCGCCACUACCGAGAAGGCCCUCUGCUUGGUUCCCUCUAACCUCACUUCUCACAGGGAGGGAACCUUCAGAAAGCACUGGAUCUCAGUGUCCGGGUAGAAUGAUGGGGGUGGAGACGCUCCUUCAGGUAUACUGGGCUGAGGCCAUUUAGGGCUUUAAAUGUCAACACCAACACUUUGAAUUGUGCUCAGGAAUGUACUGGGAGCCAAUGUAGGUCUUUCAAGACUGGUGUUCUGUGGUCUCGGCGGCCACUUCCAGUCACCAGUCUAGCUGCCGCAUUCUGGAUUAGUUGUCCAGUGUUGCGGCCUCAUUUCUCCCCAAAUUUGCUCUAGGUGGUAGCUCUAAUUUUGCUCGGCGAAUCAUGUAGGCCAUGAGAUAUUGACAAAGAAGAACACGAGCUGAUAAGAGCACUGUGGGCUCAGAGGACUGCAGGCCAGGAAGUCAACGCAGCGAGGAAUUCAGAGGUGAGUGAACUGACGUUAGAUAUUGACAGUUACAGGUAUUGAUAUGAACUCACUACCCAGAUCUUUUAGAUACCAGCCUAUGAGUAUCUCUUAAGGUUGUGUCGCAUUUCACUCUGGUAUAGAAGAUGUCUUUUGAUAUGGAAUGUGAAGCGGAGGCAUAUAGGCUCAAAUAAUCUGUUGUGCCUCAGGCACAGAGUUCUUGCAUGCAGUUUUGGUACAUCUUGCUUCACUAGUGAGUGUCCCUGAUGAAGCUGAGUCGAGGUACACAUUUAUAUGAAUGGUAUUUAGUGUGGUAAGAAGCAUAUAGCCAAUGGGGCAUCGACCAAAAUCUUCGAGAAACAAACUGCUAAGUAGUGAGGGGAGAGAUUUCGUCAGGCAAGGCCUCUUUCCACUUGCCUUGCCCUACCCUCUAGUCUCUGCUUCUCAAUUUGUAUUUUAUUAUUUUAUGCACUGUGGCUUGCCAUUGUUUUAUUGAUUAUAGUUUAGAAAUUAUUUAUUGUAACUGUUUAGUGGAUUUCUGUUAAAUUUUUAUAUGUUAUUAUUAUUUAAUACUACUCUAAUGAUUGUUGAAUGUUAGUUUUUGAUGUAGGUUGCCUAUUUAAAAGUUAUGUUUUAUUAUCACAUUUUUGUAUUGCAUUAGAUUGUUAUAAGAUGUAUGGUACAUUUUUUGUUUCUUCAGCUUGUAAACUGCCUUGAGUAUUGUAAGACAGAAAGACGGUAUACAAAUUAAAAAUGAUGAUGAUGGCAUUUUGAAUUUAUAUAUUCCCCUUUUCCUCCUGUGUAUUUGCCAAGUAUCUUUUAGCACAGGGAAGAUAACCUUUCCCCUUUUUCACACUGAGGUCCAGCUUUGAGGGCCGUCUGGCAGUUCCCUCACUGCAAGGUUACAGGGAACUUGGCAGAGGGCCUUCUCGGUAGUGGCACCCACCCUGUGGAACGCCCUCCCAUCAGAUGUCAAGGAAAUAAACAACUAUCUGACUUUUAGAAGACAUCCGAAGGCAGCCCUGUAGAGGGAAGUUUUUAAUGUUUGAUAUUUUAUUGUGUUUUUAAUAUUCUGUUGGGAGCCAUUCAGAGUGGAUUGGGAAACCCAGUCAGAUGGGCGGGGGUAUAAAUAAAUUAUUAUUAUUAUUAUCAUUAUUAUUAUUAUUAUCAUUAUCAUUAUCAUUUUUAUUGCUAUGGGAACCAGACGCAAAUGCUGGCAGAGCAACAUGUGUGACUCUUACUUUUGUGUCAUAGACUAUGUGCCAGCCACAUGAACUAUAUGCACACACAAACCACACAUUUCUUCUUCUAUCCAGGCAUGCAAAUGGCAUCAUUACAGUUUUCAUAGAAUCAAAGAAUUGCAGAGAUGGAAGGGACAUGAAGGAUCAUCUAAUCCAACCCCCUACAAUGCAGGAAUAUGCAGAUGCCCCUUACAGAGAUUGAACCCACAACCUUGGCAUUAUUAGCACCACGCUUUAACCAACUGAGCUAUCCAGAAGAUUGUUAGACACCUUUGGACCAAAGCACAAGGCAAAGGCACAAGGGAGGCCUAGAGCCAGGUUGGUGCGGGUUGUGGCCUUGGAAGAGUUCCAGUGGUAAGACAGAGAGGUCCAGAGGGUCACAUUUUAAAGGGACGUGGGUAGUGCUGUGGUCUAAACCACUGAGCCUCUUGGGCUUGCCUAUCAGAAGGUUGGUGGUUUGAAUCCUCGUGAUGGGGUGAGCUCCUGUUGCUCUGUCCCAGUUCCUGCCAACCUAGCAGUUCGAAAGCACCUCAGAGCAAGUAGAUAAAUAGGUACCGUUGUGGCAGGAAAGUCAACAGUGUUCCGUGCACUCUGGUUUCCAUCACGGUGUCCCAUUGUGCCAGAAGCGGUUUAGUCAUGCUGGCCACAUGACCCGGAAAGCUGUCUGUGGACAAACACUGGCUCCUUUGGCCUGAAAGCAAGAUGAGCGCCGCAACCCCAUAGUCACUUUUGACUGGACUUAACCGUCUAGGGUUAAGCACAGCAGCACUCAUGUUCUAGUGUUAUGUAUAACUGUGGAUCAGCGGUUGUCCCAAAGCUUUCAUUUAUAGGUCCUUUCCCUCAAGUCUUUUACCUGCUGGCAAGUUGCAAGAUGACACCUAGCAACAGCAGCCCAGGUUGAUGAAAUGGCUCAUCACCCAGAACAUUCUGCUUUUCGUAACUUAACAAACCAUACCAUGAAGGAAGUGAAUGACAUCUUAGUGAAUCCUUUGGUAAAGUGGAUUCUUCCCUCAUCAGUGUUUGGUUUUCUAAUCUUCCUGCUUCAUCUGCCAUAGCUCAUAACUUCACCACCAUUACCUCAGAUACUGAGAUGGACCAGUGGUGGCAAAGACAAUGAUGUUGUCACACUUGGUCUCUCCAUGGGGUCCACAGAUGUCUGAAUGCAUUCUAAGGCAGCUCUUGUAAGGGAAAGGGAAAAGGAUGGAAUGCCCUGUUGCAGACCCAGAGAGCUGUGUUGUUUGCCUUCAAUGCCGGGCUGCGGACACAACUUUGCACAUCUUCUAGAGAAAGCCUCUAUUUACGAUGAAAGAUUUGUGACAGAAUCAAUGGAUACGAGUACAAGAGACAGAAGUCUCUAAAAGAUGAUGUGCAUUGAUGAUGGUUGACAGUGGGUUACUGAAUAUGAUAGGAAGUCAUUGUAGGAAGUCAUUGUAGUGCCAGGGAUGUCACUAUUAUUUCUACACAGGCUCAUUCAUCCCCUAGGCAAACAAACAAACAAACCCAGAAGGGAAUUGAGGUGCCAUCAAAUUUUGCUACAAGCAAACUUCAUCAGAGGCAGACCAUUAGUCCUGAAAUGGCAAAAUUAACCGGGAAGCUCAGAAAUCAAGAAGACAAGAGCUUUAAAAAAGAAAGGGGAACGUUUACAAUUUAUUUACAAGACCAUUGUAAGCAGUUUAGAACAUUAGCAGGAUUUUAGCCACACUUGUAAAUUAAUGGAAAGUAUGGACAAUUUGGAAAGACAAAAUGUGAACAGCACUGAUAUGCAGAUGUAAAUAUUAUCACUAGGACCCAU